ACUCUUCACGAUGGAUAUCUUGGCUCUUGAAUCGAUGAAGAACGCAGCGAACUGCGAUAUGUAAUGCGAACUGCAGAAGUCUGUGAGUCAUUGAAUCUUUGAACGCAUAUUGCACUUCCUUCGUCUUGUUGGGAGUAUGCUUGUUGGAGUGUGAUUUGACUUGUAUGUCUGUUCUUCUCUACUGUGUGGGGUUGAUACGACGAUGAUUGAUGGUGGUUGUUACAGUACUGUAGACCUCCAUUGAAAUGGAUGAUUUUGAUUGGUGGGUUAUUCAAUUGGUAAAUAUCAAUGAACAAUCCACCCUAACCUUCUUCUUUUCAUCUCCAAUCAAGCAAGAAGACCUGCUGAAUUGAAGCAUCUAACUAAGCAGAGGAAAAGAAAAUAACGAUGAUUCCCUUAGUAACGGCGAGUGAAGUGGGAAAAGCCCAAUCCGAAUUUGCUUCGGCAAAGUUGUGGAGUGUAUAAAGAUUGCGUAGUAGUGAGUGCGGUGAUAAUUGGAUUGGAAGGUCAAGUCAUAGAAGGUGAAAACCCUGUAUUUGCAUCGCGCUUGGAGAAAGCACUACUAGUUGAUAGGUAGCAAUGUUUAUUGGAGUCGAGUUGUUUGGGAUUGCAGCUCGAAGUUGGUGGUAAACUCCAUCAAAGGCUAAAUAUGUUCAGGAGACCGAUAGCGAACAAGUACCGUGAGGGAAAGAUGAAAAGCACUUUGAAAAAAGAGUGAAAUAGUACUUGAAAUCGUGGAGGGGUUAAGCGUAGGAGUGGUUGAAUGAUGUAUGUGUUGUGGUGGUUGGCGGUAGUUGUUAAUCAUUAGAACAUGUGCAAAUGUGUGUGUGUGGUUAUCGUCGAUGUAAGAUCUUUCUCACACCAACGAUGACCCACUUCCACGUAAUAACCACUUCUCCGUCCCGUCUUGAAACACGGACCAAGGAGUCUAUCAUAUUUGCGAGUAGUUUAGUGGUAAACUAAAAUGCGGAAUGAAGGUGAUAUUUGUGAAGCUCAAAGAGCGAGCAGCAACAAAUACCGGUCUUGCAUCUUGGAUAAAGGAUUCGAGUAGUAGCAAAGAUGGUGGGACCCGAAAGAUGGUGAACUAUGCCUGAAUAGGACGAAGCCAGGGGAAACUCUGGUGGAGGUUCGAGUGGAUUCUAACGUGCAAAUUGAUCUUUAAAUUUGGGUAUAGGGGCGAAAGACUAAUCGAACCAUCUAGUAGCUGGUUCCUUCCGAAAUUUCCCUCAGGAUAGCUGCAACUGGUGUUAGUUUUAUGAGGUAAAGCGAAUGAUUAGAGGAUUCUGGGAUGUAAUAUCCUGGACCUAUUCUCAAACUUUGAAUGGGUAAGAUAUUGUGGUUGCUUGAGUGAACCAUGAUUUGGAAUAGUGAUAAGUUGCAAGUGGGCCAUUCCGGGUAAGCUGGACUGGCGAUGCGGGAUCAACCGAACGAUAUGGUACGGCGCCUAAUUGUUCGCUCAGUUGGAUAGAAAAGGUGUUAGUUCAUCUAGACAGCAGGACGGUGGCCAUGGAAGUCGGAAUCCGCUAAGGAGUGUGUAACAACUCACCUGCCGAAUGAAGUAGCCCUGAAAAUGGAUGGCGCUUAAGCGAGCAGCCUAACCAUGUCUGUCGUUUCAAUGGUAGCUAUGCUUGCACGGAACGACAUGUAGGAAGGCGUGAUGGAUAGAAUAAAGAAGUAUAGGUGUAAACCUGUAUGGAAUGUCCAUUAGUGCAGAUCUUGGUGGAAGUAGCAAAUAUUCAAAUGAGAUCUUUGAAGACUGAAGUGGAGAAAGGUUCCAUAGGAAUCGUGUUGAACUAUGGGUUAGUCGGUCCUAAGAGAUAGGUGAAAUCCGUUGAAAAGGCAGUGGCGUUGAGCAUCUGCCUCCGAUCGAAAGGGAAUCAGGUUAAUAUUCCUGAACCGAUGAGAUGGAAGUGAAUGGUAACAGAGCGUAAUAGCAUGACAUCGGUUACUCUCCUGGGAAGAGUUUUCUUUUCUUGUUAACAAUAAUAAAAGCUUGGAAAGGAAUGAAUCCGCGAAAAGGUUUUGUUAUUGGCAAAGGAAUUCAAUGUUUUGAAUUCUCCGGUGCAGAGUAAUGGGUCCUUGAAAAGUGGUAUUACUGGUUGCCCUAUGGGCUUAAUGACACAUCUCAUCGUCCGUACUAAUAACCGCAUCAGGUCUCCAAGGUGAAUAGCCUCUAGUUAAUAGAAUAAUGUAGAUAAGGGAAGUCGGCAAAUUAGAUCCGUAACUUCGGGAAAAGGAUUGGCUCUGAGGGCUAGGUGUGGCUGUCCGUGUCAUUUCUGAUGAUUGGUGGCCAUCUUUUCUUGGCAUUUCCUUGUUGGAAAUGAGUGUGGUUGGGGUGGGUGGAUUCUUUCGGGAGUCUAGCUGUCGUGACCACCACUUACCUCCUCUUGGAGCCUUGAAAAGAAACACAAUGAAUAGCUGACUCAGAACUGGUACGGACAAGGGGAAUCCGACUGUUUAAUUAAAACAAAGCAUUGUGAUAGUGUGAAAGAUAUAUUGACACAAUGUGAAUUCUGCCCAGUGCUCUGAAUGUCAAAGUGAAGGAAUUCAACCAAGCGCGGGUAAACGGCGGGAGUAACUAUGACUCUCUUAAGGUAGCCAAAUGCCUCGUCAUCUAAUUAGUGACGCGCAUGAAUGGAUUAAUGAGAUUCCCACUGUCCCUAUCUACUAUCUAGCGAAACCACAGCCAAGGGAACGGGCUUGGAAGUAUCAGCGGGGAAAGAAGACCCUGUUGAGCUUGACUCUAGUCUGACAUUGUGAAAUGACUUAGAGGGUGUAGAAUAGGUGGGAGAGUCUGUAAUAGGACUCGCAGGUGAAAUACCACUACCUCUAAUGUUGUUUUACUUAUUCCAUGAUAUGGGGGUGUGGUGGUCAUUGAUCACCACCUUAAUGAACAACGGUUGCUUCGGUAACCUGACCCACGUGGGAGACAUUGUUAGGUGGGGAGUUCGGCUGGGGCGGCACAUCUGUUAAAGAAUAACACAGGUGUCCUAAGAUGAGCUCAGUAAGAACAGAAAUCUUACGUAGAAUAAAAGGGUAAAAGCUCAUUUGAUUUUGAUUUUCAGUAUGAAUACAAACUACGAAAAUAUGGCCUAUCGAUCCUUUAGAUGCAUUAAAAUUUGGAGUUUAAAGCUAGAGGUGUCAGAAAAGUUACCACAGGGAUAACUGGCUUGUGGCGGCCAAGCGUUCAUAGCGACGUCGCUUUUUGAUUCUUCGAUGUCGGCUCUUCCUACCAAUACCUUGCAGACUGGGUAAAAUGUGAGAUUGUUCAUCUCAAAAUAGGGAACGUGAGCUGGGUUUAGACCGUCGUGAGACAGGUUAGUUUUACCCUACUGAUGAAGCGUUGUCGUGAUA
rnacentral:rRNA from 1 species